rnacentral:rRNA from 1 species
UACGAAGGGGGCUAGCGUUGUUCGGAAUCACUGGGCGUAAAGCGCACGUAGGCGGAUUGUUAAGUCGGGGGUGAAAUCCUGAGGCUCAACCUCAGAACUGCCUCCGAUACUGGCAAUCUCGAGUUCGGAAGAGGUUGGUGGAACAGCUAGUGUAGAGGUGAAAUUCGUAGAUAUUAGCUAGAACACCAGUGGCGAAGGCGGCCAACUGGUCCGACACUGACGCUGAGGUGCGAAAGCGUGGGGAGCAAACGGG